AAAUAAGACACUUGACAGCUGCCCUCCUAGCAGGCUUUUACCCUAUGAGGGGAAAAAGUACCAAGAGGUUUUUGCAUAGUUCAAUUACUAGCACUUAACAUGCAUACUUUUUGAGCAGAAUUCUGUUUCACAUGGAAUAAACAACUGUGAACUAAAUCUUUGUUCUUAAAUAGUACCAAAGCUUUAGAACAUGGGUAAAAAACUAAACUCUUUAAAUAGUUUUAGCAGUUAUGUUACAAUAACUAGAUUACUGACAAAUACAACAUUGUGAUUCUACUUUUAUCAACAUUCAGGUAUUCAAGACAAUUCAGUAGUCUCAACAUGGAUCAGCUCAGAUCCCAUUAGUUAAGCAUGAUACCGGGGGACACUGUCUUCGUACCUGGAACGCUGGAAGAACCCGCACUACAGCAGAGAAGAAAAAGAACAGAUUAGAUUUAAGUUGUUGCCGAAGUACUACGAUUACAGAGAUAAGUUCUGCAUGGGCCUUUCAUACAUUACAUAGGACAGCCUGCAGGUGGCAGUGUCCGUACAGUUUAUCACAGACAACAUCCAGUGCUGUUAAACACUUCUAGCCUAUCACUUCAUGUCACAUCAAUUUAUGAAAGAGUAAGAACAUCCAAAUCUGCCCAGAAUUAAGCAUCUCAUGCUACUAUCUUAGCAAUUAAGCUACAAGUUAUCCUGAUCCAAAAAAUCUUACGUAUAAAUCCAUCAAAACAACUGAUGCCUUUGGAAAGGACCACAUCAGGUUAAGAAGAAUUAAACAACUGUUUCAAUCUAAAAGUGCUGAAGA